rnacentral:lncRNA from 1 species
AAAUUUCAUAUUUUUUAAAAUUAUAUUUUAACCUCUAAAAUUUUCUAAAAUUAUAGUUUGACCCCUAACUUUCCUAAAAUUACAUUUUGAAUCCUAAACUUUUUCUAUUUACAUUUUGACCCUUAAAUUUUCCUAAAAUUAUAUUUUGACCCCAAAAGUUUUGCAUACCCUACAAUCUGGUCCUCCUGUCAGAAAAUCCUCAGCCGCCAGGCGCAACUUGCACACCUGUAGUCCAGCGACCGACCUAGGCUCGUGAUGGCCUCCCUAGCUACCUGCUUCCUACAAGAAAAUCAAAAAUAAAAGCAAGAAAAUCAACCAAAAAAGAGCGGCCAAAAAAAAAACAAGCAAAAAAAGAGAGAAAAGCACCAGCAAAAAAUAAAAAAACCGCAAGAAACUAAGGAAAUUUCGGUCUUUUCCCCACAACCACUGAGGGUGGAGGAGAACUGAACGACGAGUGGCGGAUUGGGGCGGUGGUGACGCCUUCAAAGUUGGGGAUUUCGAAAAUAGAUGAGAAGGAAAAAGAGGAAAAGAAAAGAAAGGAGAAAAGAGGGGAGUGCCGGAGGGCGUGCACCGCCAGACGGAGGAAGCAUCGGCGGUGGGGGUUAAGUUAGGGUUAGGGUGAAAGAAAGAAAGAAGAAAGGAAGAAAAAAAGAAAAAAAAGAAAGAAAAAAAAGAAAAAAAUAAAAGAACAGUUGGGCCAACCCGAACCGACCGGCGCGACCUGACCUACCCGAGGGACCCGCACCAGUCAACAGGCUGACCCAGCAUCCAGCAUCAAACAAACCAAACCCAGGCAGCACCACCAGGCCGGCCUAAAACAGCAAGCCCACAAUCAGCAGCAGGUCGACCCAGCGGCCCAAUCAGCAAGAAAAGAAAAAAACAGCAGCAGCCCAGAUUCGGCAGGCCCGUCCCAGCGGCCCAGCAAAGCAGCAGGCCUGUCCAGUCCAAGCCCAGCAGUUUCAGCCCAGCGGCC